GUCCCGCCCCCUCAGCUCUCAGCAGCCAAUGGCAGCCUGGCAUACUGAACACCAGUAGCAGUCCUGCAGCAGCAUGGCCUAAACCUCUUUAUACGUCUAAAGUAGAGACAUAUCUGAAUGAUCUGAAGAGAAAAAGAGGAAACUAUCGAAGGAGAACGUUUUUUUUACAUCCUUUUUGAGAUAUAUUGAUCCAGGAGGGAUAACAAGAGACCGCUAACGUCUAGCUAGCACAGCUAAGCUAGCUCUGAUGUCACAGUUGAACAGGAUGAUAAAUCAGCGUCUGAUGGAUUCAGAGUGACGGCGACUUGAUUCAGACGUUCGGAGGAAGCGAGACGCCUUCAGUCAUCUAAAGAAAAGGUCGGACAGAAACCAGAACAGAAGAAAAGUUGCCCUGCUCGGAGGAUAGACGACCUCAGAGAUAACCAGCAUGUGUGAGCCAAUCAGAGGCGGAGCUGGGCUGCCAGCGGUGAGAGAGACAAAGCUGCUAAUUAGUGAAGCGGACGAUCAGCAGAGGACUCGGUUCAGGCUAUUUCCUGGAGUCGUGAGAAGUUCGGGAUCUUAAAUCACAUCAAGGAGCAGAAAAAGACGAAGAAGAAAACAGCAACAGGAGAGACGCUGGAUUCUUUGUGGCUCUGACGCCAUCUUUGGUUCGUCUUUUCAACCUUUAAGGUUCAUUUCUUGUCGUUCUUCAACACAUGACGUUAGACUCCGAUCUCCUGAUUCAAUACUGUCACCAUACUGUCACUUCAAGAAAUAUUGGGAUCCGACAUUACGAGUUAUUGUGAUUUUGAUAACUUUUUACCACUAGACCGUGAGAACAAGAUGAAUCAUCCACUUCUAGGGACUUUAACUUUGUAAAAUCUCUAAAUGAAUCCAGUAAGAAUGUUUGAUUUUCAUCAUGUAUGUAGUCAGAGAUGUCCUGAAGUCAAAUAUAUCAGGAUCAUUG